AUUGAACGCUGGCGGCAGGCCUAACACAUGCAAGUCGAACGGUAACAGGAAGACGCUUGCUUCUUUGCUGACGAGUGGCGGACGGGUGAGUAAUGUCUGGGAAACUGCCUGAUGGAGGGGGAUAACUACUGGAAACGGUAGCUACUACCGCAUAACGUCGCAAGACCAAAGAGGGGGACCUUCGGGCCUCUUGCCAUCGGAUGUGCCCAGAUGGGAUUAGCUAGUAGGUGGGGUAACGGCUCACCUAGGCGACGAUCCCUAGCUGGUCUGAGAGGAUGACCAGCCACACUGGAACUGAGACACGGUCCAGACUCCUACGGGAGGCAGCAGUGGGGAAUAUUGCACAAUGGGCGCAAGCCUGAUGCAGCCAUGCCGCGUGUAUGAAGAAGGCCUUCGGGUUGUAAAGUACUUUCAGCGGGGAGGAAGGGAGUAAAGUUAAUACCUUUGCUCAUUGACGUUACCCGCAGAAGAAGCACCGGCUAACUCCGUG
rnacentral:rRNA from 1 species